AAUAAAAACCUUCCACCCGUCAGUCUAGAAGGAUAAGAGAAAGAAAGUUAAGCAACUACAGGAAAUGGCUUUGGGAGUUCCAAUAUCAGUCUAUCUUUUAUUCAACGCAAUGACAGCACUGACCGAAGAGGCAGCCGUGACUGUAACACCUCCAAUCACAGCCCAGCAAGGUAACUGGACAGUUAACAAAACAGAAGCUGACAACAUAGAAGGACCCAUAGCCUUGAAGUUCUCACACCUUUGCCUGGAAGAUCAUAACAGUUACUGCAUCAACGGUGCUUGUGCAUUCCACCAUGAGCUAGAGAAAGCCAUCUGCAGGUGUUUUACUGGUUAUACUGGAGAAAGGUGAAACCUGUAAUAAAGUAAGGAAAGCAGAUGGAGCACAAGAAGAAGCUAAGCAAAGAUGUGGCUUUAACUGAAGUGUAGCCCCAGCCUGAUUCCACAGGGAGAUCUAGAAUGUGAAUAGCAGUGUAGACCUCUCCCAAGGAGAUGAGGCAUCUGGAUUUCAAUAUCCCAUAUUAUUCAAUCAUGGAUUCAUGUGGGGUGUCUAAAAUUGAAAUCGCCUUACAAUGUCUGUUCUGGAGAAAGACGACCACUGUGAGGCCUUUGUGAAGAAUUUUCAUCAAGGCAUCUGUAGAGAUCAGUGAGCCCAAAAUUAAAGUUUUCAGAUGAAACAACAAAACUUGUCAAGCUGACUAGACUCGAAAAUAAUGAAAGUUGGGAUCACAAUGAAAUGAGAAGAUAAAAUUCAGCGUUGGCCUUUAGACUUUGCCAUCCUUAAGGAGUGAUGGAAGCCAAGUGAACAAGCCUCAGUGACACAAGUCAAAUUCAUAGUUUCACUCUGGGUUUUUUGUUGUUGUGUGGUUAUUAUUCUCACUACAGAAAGACUGAGUUUCAUGCUCCUGGCUAUGUCAGAUGUGAAUUUUCAUGGGAAUAAUAAUCAACCUUGCAGCAAGCCAAAGCAAUGCCUCGCUUGGGUUCUUCAUGUUCUUACUACCCAGCGUUUUUUACCACCUAGAUGGGCCUCUCUAAGUCUAUUUGCUCAAUGAACCUUAUCCCAAACUUGUUGUUUUCAUGGUGUCUGAAAGAAUGUGAUGUCAGCUUUUAGAAUGAAAUCAGUGUUAAGGUACCUCCAGUGAACCAAACAUGUGUCUUAAAUCUAAGCCACUGAAAACAGAAGGGAAUGUCCAAGGCAAAUACAAAUCAUACACAGCUUGUAACAACAUACAGCCUUUCUAUGUGAAAUAAUGGAAUAAACUAAAGAGUUUCUGAAGACUGAAGCUAUCUGGAUAUCAAGUCUGGAGUAGGCAAAGCAUUUCCAUUUCUACAUGGAUUAUAAAACUUUGUGUUGGACUCAUUGGUCCCUAAUGCUUUUGUUCAUCACUUCUUCCAGUUAUCAGUGGAAUUACCUGGUGACCAUUCAUUUGGACCGAAAUCCUGGAAGUCUCCUACUGAAUAAAAGUCUACAAUUGGCCCUAAAAUAGAAACUGAAAAACAGGACAUAGAAUUUUUUCACCAGACCACAGCAUGUGGAAACUUUCUUUAUCAUUUUUGAACACUUGUUAACAGAUUUGCACAUAGAGGGAGAGAAAAAAAAUGGAGUAACAGUCAAAAUAAUAAUAAUCAGUAUCCAGGCCAGGCGUGGUGGUUCACGCCUGUAAUCCUAGCACUUUGGGAGGCCGAGGCGGAUGGAGCACCUGAGGUCAGGAGUUUGAGACCAGCCUGGCCAACAUGGUGAAACCCUGUCUCUACUAAAAAUACAAAAAUUAGCUGGGCGUGGUGGUGCAUGCCUGUAAUCCCAGCUACUCCAGAGGCUGACACAGGACAAUCACUUGAACCCAGGAGGCAGAGGUUGUAGUGAGCCGAGAUGGCAACCCUGCACUCCAACCUGGGUGACAAGAGCGAAACUCCAUCUCAAAAAAAAAAAAAAAAAUCAGUAUCCUUCCUCUUAGUUAUAUUUCUGCCACUUAAUUCAAACAGUCAUAUGCAGGUCGCUUAAUUUAUUUGUGCUUUUGUUUCAUCUUCUACAAGGCCCUCUUAGCUCUAAAACUUGACAGUGGAAUAAGGAAAUGUUUUUCCAAAUCUGCAUUGCCGGUGAGAUCCUCAACAUCAGCAUGUUGAGAUGGACCUCAACCCCACCUCUAACCCUGAAACACACUACUCGAUAUUAUCUUAGGUAUGUUUUAGGGUUUAGUUUGUAAAAUAAUAAUUUAUUUUUGAAGGAAAUAUAAAAUAUUAAAGAGUAAUAAUAGCUAUCAUUUUUUAAGAUUCAAUCUAAAACAAUGGACUCUUUUUUUUUCCAUUUGUGAUGUAGAUAAGCAAGACAAUUUUGAUCAUGAGUGGUGAAAAGAGGAUCAAACUUGACUAUUCUUGCAAUGGCAGUCCAGCAACAAGCCUUUCAUUUACAUUAAAUUAUAACUUUUCAUUCAUUCCUAAACCAAACUUAAAAUUCUGCUUUCCUUUGAGUAGAAGGUAUUUAACUUGUUUUGUUUUUCCUUCAGAAGGAAUUUAAUGCAAACGGAUUGCAGUCAGCACUUUCUGAAUGUUUUCACACAGUAUGCAAAGCUUACAUCAUACCAAGGAGUGGAGAGUUGAAGUUUCCUCCCAGUGACUCCAGUGACAGACCACACCUAGAAAGCGUUUCUCUUCCUGAGUAUUUCAAAAAGAUGUAAAAGAGCUGGGGAGAGUAUGGGAAGAAACAAUACAGGAUUGCCUUUAAUUAAUUAAGAAUUGCCUCCUGAUAAAAGGAAAAA